UGCAAAUCAGGACAAGAGCAUCAAAUUGUGACAUGAAAAUGGAUAUAUUAGAAAUGUUGUAUUGGUAACUUGUAGCCUUAAAAAUACAUUUAUUGGCAAUCAUACCACAUCUUCUUUUUUUAUCUACAAAAUAUUAAUUUUAACGGUAUCAGGUCGGUUCACGCCCAAUACACUUUCACACCCUACACGUUCGUACCCAAGGC
rnacentral:lncRNA from 1 species